GACGAACGCUGGCGGCGCGCCUAACACAUGCAAGUCGAACGAGCGAGAGAGAGCUUGCUUUCUCGAGCGAGUGGCGAACGGGUGAGUAACGCGUGAGGAACCUGCCUCAAAGAGGGGGACAACAGUUGGAAACGACUGCUAAUACCGCAUAAGCCCACAGCUCGGCCAUCGAGCAGAGGGAAAGGAGUAGAUCCGCUUUGAGAUGGCCUCGCGUCCGAUUAGCUCGGUUGGUGAGGGUAACGGCCCACCAAGGCGACGAUCGGUAGCCGGACUCGAGAGGUUGAACGGCCACAUUGGGACUGAGACACGGCCCACG
rnacentral:rRNA from 1 species